GUACUUCUACUCCUAUAUUUCAUUACGAAAUUAUUUAAUGUAAAUAGUUUUUAAAGUAGGUUGCGUGCUAGUUAUGUUUCUGUCAUUAACGGACACAAUCUGGAGACUGUAGAUUCGUCUUUCUUCAAUAAAAAAAAUGUCUAUUUAUUCAAAAUUAUAUUUGUAUAUGUAUUCAAACAUUAAACACAUAUGUAAAUGUAACAAUAAUAAUUAAAAAAAAACCAGUAAGAAAUGUGGUUUAAACUUUUUUUUUAACUCAGUAGCAACGCUUAAUUACAGUCGGUUUAUCCAAAUAUUACGUAUGAACAAUAGAAGUACAGGGAGGAAUAACUAAAUUUUAAAGGCGAUCCCGUUAUCCAAAACACCUCACACACAGUUUAAGCAUUCGAAAGGCGUUGCCAACCCUCAGGGAAAAUUUGUUAAUUCAUCUGAAUUUUCAAGAGGGAAGCUUUGCCGGAAAGGAAUUCCUUCGGAAGUAUAUUUGUCUUUAUGACUAGACGUCAAAGGAAAUUAAGAUAUACCAAUCUCAAAAAUACUUUAUUUUAAAUAUACAAAAUUUUAAAAUAA